UUCAUGCGUGUGAAGAAUUGGUGCAGGU
rnacentral:sRNA from 1 species